CACUCCUGCGGGAGGCAGCAGUGGGGAAUAUUGGACAAUGGGCGCAAGCCUGAUCCAGCCAUGCCGCGUGAGUGAUGAAGGCCCUAGGGUUGUAAAGCUCUUUUGUGCGGGAAGAUAAUGACGCUACCGCAAGAAUAAGCCCCGGCUAACUUCGUGCCAGCAGCCGCGGUAAUACGAAGGGGGCUAGCGUUGCUCGGAAUCACCGGGCGUAAAGGGUGCGUAGGCGGGUCUUUAAGUCAGGGGUGAAAUCCUGGAGCUCAACUCCAGAACUGCCUUUGAUACUGAAGAUCUUGAGUUCGGGAGAGGUGAGUGGAACUGCGAGUGUAGAGGUGAAAUUCGUAGAUAUUCGCAAGAACACCAGUGGCGAAGGCGGCUCACUGGCCCGAUACUGACGCUGAGGCACGAAAGCGUGGGGAGCAAACAGGAUUAGAUACCCCUGUAGUCGCAUG
rnacentral:rRNA from 1 species